GUUACUAAUUCUUGAUAGAGGGAUAAGGUGGACUCUUUUCAGGUUGCUUGUUCAUGCCUGUUGCAUCCCCAGUGGGUCUGCACACUCAGCCAUCCCUUCAGGCACUCUCUUUUCUGGAAGUGGGGUGGAGUUUUAGGCUCCAAGUGAAAAAUGAUGCACGAACUCAGCUGUGAUAUCUGUGCAAGGAAGGGAAAACCCAAAGGUGUGGGUAGGAUGCCACUAGCUGGUCACUGGUUUGCUGCUUUGCCCUCCUGCUAUUCACAAGGUGGGAUUUUCUGUGGCAAACCUUCCUGGAAAGCAAUGAAAACAAAAAAUUAAAGUUAAGAUUGUUUAAAAAGUUCCCAACCAACCAUGUCAGCAAACGGGAGAGCUCUGUCCCCUUUGCGUAACUCCUGCCAUUC